rnacentral:rRNA from 1 species
UUCCGGUUGAUCCUGCCGGAGGCUACCGCUAUUGGAGUUCGAUUAAGCCAUGCGAGUCGCGAGUCCUAGGGACUCGGCGUACCGCUCAGUAACACGUGGGUAACCUGCCCUAUGCUGGGGGAUAACCUCGGGAAACUGAGAAUAAUACCCCAUAGUUCACCACGCCUGGAACGGUGGGUGGAUGAAAGCUCCGGCGGCAUAGGAUGGGCCUGCGGCGUAUCAGGUUGUAGGGGGUGUAAUGUACCCUCUAGCCAUCUACGCGUACGGGUGUUGAGAGACAUCGCCCGGAGAUGGAUUCUGAGACACGAAUCCAGACCCUACGGGGUGCAGCAGGCGCGAAAACUUGGCAAUGCGAGAAAUCGUGACCAGGGAACUCCAAGUGCAUCGGGUAAGACCGAUGCUUUUCUUGACUCUUCAAAGGUCUUGGAAUAAGGGGUGGGUAAGGACGGUGCCAGCCGCCGCGGUAAUACCGGCGCCCCAAGUGGUAGUCGCUUUUAUUGGGCCUAAAACGUCCGUAGCCGGUUUGGUACAUUCGUGGGUAAAUCAAGGCGCUCAACGUCUUGAAUUCUGCGAGCACGGCCAGACUUGGGACCGGGUGAGGUGUGGGGUACUCUCAGGGUAGGGGUAAAAUCCUGUCAUCCUGAGAGGACCACCUGUUGCGAAGGCGCCACACUAGAACGGAUCCGACGGUCAGGGACGAAGCCUAGGGGCACGAACCGGAUUAGAUACCCGGGUAGUCCUAGGUGUAAACGCUGUGGACUUGAUGUUGGGAGUGCUCCGAGCACCCUCAGUGUCGAAGCGAAGGUGAUAAGUCCACUGCCUGGGGAGUACGGUCGCAAGGCUGAAACUUAAAGGAAUUGGCGGGGGAGCACUGCAACCUGAGGAUUGUGCGGUUUAAUUGGAUUCAACGCCGG